UACGGAGGAUGCGAGCGUUAUCCGGAUUUAUUGGGUUUAAAGGGUGCGUAGGCGGCGGUGCAAGUCAGCGGUAAAAGCCCGGGGCUCAACCCCGGCGAGCCGUUGAAACUGCAGUGCUAGAGAAGGCGAGAGGUACGCGGAAUGCGCAGUGUAGCGGUGAAAUGCUUAGAUAUUGCGCAGAACUCCGAUUGCGAAGGCAGCGUACUGGCGCCUGACUGACGCUGAGGCACGAAAGCGUGGGGAUCGAA
rnacentral:rRNA from 1 species